rnacentral:rRNA from 1 species
UACGGAGGGUGCAAGCGUUAUCCGGAUUCACUGGGGUUAAAGGGUGCGUAGGCGGACAGGUAAGUCAGUGGUGAAAUCUCCGAGCUUAACUCGGAAACUGCCUUUGAUACUCUCUGUCUUGAAUAUGGUGGAGGUAAGCGGAAUAUGUCAUGUAGCGGUGAAAUGCUUAGAGAUGACAUAGAACACCUAUUGCGAAGGCAGCUUACUACGCCUAUAUUGACGCUGAGGCACGAAAGCGUGGGGAUCAAACAGG